AUAUUAAUUCUUUUUUUUUUAUCAAAAGGAACAUUUUUGAAAAAGAAUUAUCCCUCUAACAUUUUAAGAGCCACUCUAAUGUACAAUGUCCUGCACUACCAUUGGAACACACUUUUACUUCAUACAACCCCUGAACAAAUGCAAUUUAACGAUUUUUUUAGUUUUAUUUAAUAGCAUAGAUGAUUACAAGUUUUGUUGAUGUCCCAAAAGAAGAGCAUUGCAUCCCUUGAGCGACUUCACGCAGUUGUGUGAUGCGGAGCAAGUAAGCUCUACAACUCCUCAUAGACAUAGAAUAUCAGGGUAGGGGAGUUGGAGUACGCGUCUAGUUGUCCCCAAAUGCUGCCACGUUGUCAUGGAGACAAUUUUGCACCUUUUUGGUCUUGUGAUCAUAUUUAAUAACUUUUUGGAACAGAUUUACCUUCCAUUUGCAUUUUUGUCUAUCCAGGGCUUCACCACCGAUCUCAGGAUCUCCAAAUGGACCUCAGUGUUCACUCUCUCGGAGAUUCAAUCAGAAAGUACAGUGUAGCCCGCGCUUCUGAUGAUGCCCAAUACCAUGAUGAAGGACGUAUUUUUUAUCCUCAAGUUCAGUAAUCAUGAUUCUUGUAAAGUUCUCAAUCUCGACAAAUGACUCAAAAUGAAAACAUAUUUUUUUAUUAGUCCCUUAACUUCUUGUAUAAACGGGAAAAACUUUGCCUGCUCUCGCUCAAUAAUUUUGAACGGCGCUCAAUUGAGCACUGCUCACAAAAGCUAUGCAUUUCAGCUAUAGUACCUAUACAAGACCAAUAAGGAGCUAUCUUUGGACUGAAAAAGUUAAUCCGGACCGGAUUGAUAGGACUGGAGUAUUUUUAGUUUUUUCAUACUGAUCCAAUACUACUAAAGAACAAUAUUUGCAAUAUCCAAAUCAAACCAAAAAAUGUAUUUUGUUCUAUGAUAUUUGAUAUCAAUUGAUAGUUUUAAAGAUAGUAAAUGUGAACAAUUAGAAAAUUACUUUGACGAAGUGUACAUUUUUAAAUAGCAAUAUAUAGCUAUAUGGUACUACUCCAAAGUACAUAUUAUCUACUUAGCGAUAUUAAAUAAUAUUGUGCACAUAUAUAGUUGAAAAAUAAUUACCCAAUAUUGAAGAUAUAACAAUUACAUUUUUAAAUUUAUAAUUAGGUAGGUAUACAAUGAUAGAGGCUUUAGAACAGCUAGAGUGUUUUUAAUAGGGUGACUAGGAGAUUGAACUUUUACAAAAUUGAAUCAAUAAGAAGAACUAAGAAGUACAAUACAACUUAUUGUAAAGUAGUGAUUUCAAAUGAAUAAUAUUAUCAGUUGUCAGAAAACUCACCAACAGAAAAUUUGUCUACAAAAGUUUUUACUUGGAUAGCUCGCACUGGGAAAAUUAGUAUAGGAUAUAGCUAU
rnacentral:lncRNA from 1 species